rnacentral:rRNA from 1 species
UACAGAGGGUGCGAGCGUUGUUCGGAAUUAUUGGGCGUAAAGCGCGAGUAGGCGGUCUGUUAAGUCGCGUGUGAAAGCUCCCGGCUCAACCGGGAAAGUGCGCGCGAAACUGGUAGACUUGAGUCCUGGAGAGGGUGGCGGAAUUCCCGGUGUAGAGGUGAAAUUCGUAGAUAUCGGGAGGAACACCAGAGGCGAAGGCGGCCACCUGGAAAGAGACUGACGCUGAGAAGCGAAAGCGUGGGGAGCAAACAGG